UUUUUAUUUUUUAUUGUGCGAUUAUAAACUUCACCUGUUUUACUCCUGACGUCAAGCGGAUUUAUUACCGACUUCACUCUUAUUUCAGUCAGUUAGUGAGGAGUUCCGUUACCCAGCAGAGUCCUGUUCUACUUCCGGUGUUCUGUUGUUGUUAUUUCCGCUCUAGAGAUGACCCGUGUGAUUGCCCCAGGUGAACCCAUAGACGUGCUCUUACCCCUCACUGACCUGGUGGAUGUGAGUUUUACUCCGAGUGAUGCUGUACAACCAUCAAACCUGCAGAUCUGCACCGUGGACGAGGAGAAGAUCCAGUGCAGUCCAGAUUAUAAAGAGAGAGCGUCUCUCCUCAACACUCUUCAGAUUAAAGAUGGAGACGUCUCUGACAUUGGAACUACACAGUACUUCCAGUACUACUUACAGGAUAUCUGGAACAAUGAGAUGGUCCGUGUGAGAGAGGAGACGCUGUGUUUGGACAGUACGUAGGAGAGAUCUAUGCCAGCAUGGGGGACUGCACUGAUGGUGGUGCUGAUGAUCCUGCUCAUCGUAGCAGGGUUAUUGAUGGGUUAUCUGUGGAAAGAAACGCAGUAGCUCCAUGGAGAAUCUGCAAACACCAGCAGCGCUGAAUGACUGAGAACACCAACGAACACCAGCAGCUCACAAUGAAUGGAGUUGUCAGCCAUUCUCCAGGAGAUGUGCAGAUCUCCGUACACCCUGCUUUCACUAACCAGCAACACUGAAAGUGUCUGAAUAUGUCCCCUGUCCUCCUCCCUGGGAUUUCUGCUCCAGGACAUGUGGAGCUACACACUGCUGUUUGUGCUGCAGAUCUUCACCUUUGCCCCCACUGUGUCCGGUGAUGGUUCUGUAACGGCCAAACUUCAUCACCCCGUUACCCUCACCUGUAACUCCAGAUGUUCUGGUGUACUCGAAUGGAGCAAGUUUCGAACCAUUGUGGCUCGGUGUGAUCAGACCUCCUGCAGGCCAGAGAAGGGAUUUAACAUCUCUCAUGAUCAGUACCUGAAGGGGAAUCCACAUCUCACCAUCACUGCAGCUGAUUACAGUGCGAGAGGAUUGUACACGUGUCUGUGUAACGGUACAGACAUCUGUAAAGUGCGUCUCCUCAUCGAGCCUCUAGAGAUGACCCGUGUGAUUGCCCCAGGCGAGCCCAUAGACGUGCUCUUACCCCUCACUGACCUGGUGGAUGUGAGUUUUACUUCCAGUGAUGCUGUACAACCAUCAAACCUGCAGAUCUGCAGCGUGGACAAGGAGAAGAUCCAGUGCAGUCCAGAUUAUAAAGAGAGAGCGUCUCUCCUCAACACUCUUCAGAUUAAAGAUGGAGACGUCUCUGACAGUGGGAACUACACAGUACAGGAUAUAGUGAAUGACGAGACUUUAGCCAUCGUAACGGUCCAUAUGAGAGUUUCCAUGACGACGGCAUCUCGGGGCCUGAAAGCGCAAACUUUUGGAAACGAUGCCGUUAUCGUCUCCGUGUAAACGUACAGAAACGAGAAUCUGUGAAAGCGAUGACGUCAUGUGCACGUGUAUUACGUGUUCAGUGUAUAGACAUGUGCACGAGUCAUUCAAAACCACGGAAACAGAAACACCCUCAAUGAAAAGAACUUCAUGCACAUUUCCUGUAGAUUAAAUGAUAUUACAUUAGGGACGUCUCGGCAUUUAUUAACCAGAAGAAUGAUCCGGAUCUCUGCUGGACAAGCGUGAGUUUUCACAAUUCCUCCUGACUGUGAAUAAUUUUCCGAGUCUAACUCUGGAGAUUGUAA
ensembl:lncRNA